rnacentral:ncRNA from 2 species
AAUUUGCGUUAGGGAUUGCAGUGGAAAGCCCACAGCGUAGGCACGGAGCGAGGACUUGUAGCGUAAAGCUCGACCCUUG